CACUGUUAUUCUACAAUGUAGAAAAUAGUACAAAUAAAGACAAACCCCUUGAAUGAGUAGGUGUGUCUAAACUUUUGACUGGUACUGUAUUUGUAAAUGUUUUUAAUGGGUGUAUCAGCUUGAAAAUGUUUCCACAGCCGUUGUGAAGGUCACAUCCAGGAGGGCUGUGGAAUCGUUUCCACAGCCGUUGUGAAGGUCACAUCCAGGAGGGCUGUGGAAUCGUUUCCACAGCCGUUGUGAAGGUCACAUCCAGGAGGGCUGUGGAAUAGUUUCCACAGCCGUUGUGAAGGUCACAUCCAGGAGGGCUGUGGAAUUGUUUCCACAGCCGUUGUGAAGGUCACAUCCAGGAGGGCUGUGGAAUAGUUUCCACAGCCGUUGUGAAGGUCACAUCCAGGAGGGCUGUGGAAUCGUUUCCACAGCCGUUGUGAAGGUCACAUCCAGGAGGGCUGUGGAAUCGUUUCCACAGCCGUUGUGAAGGUCACAUCCAGGAGGGCUGUGGAAUCGUUUCCACAGCCGUUGUGAAGGUCACAUCCAGGAGGUCACAACCAGGAGGGGUUUGGAAACUCAUUGGUCCAAAGCUAAUAUGAUUUGCUGGAAUUUUAACACUGUGAAAACAUGUUUAACUUUGUAAUGUUUAACUUUGUAAUGUUUAACUUUGUAAUGUUUACGUGACCAAAAACGAGACUAAUAUAUGUAUUUAUCUAUU